ACAAGGCUUAUAAGUCUUAAUUUUUAUAAAACUAAUCACAGAAACAUCUAAAUGUUAAGUAGCGGUGAUAGAAAAACAACUUAAAAUUGAAAGUACCGAGAGGGAAGAAAGUAACUGUUUAAAAAGUAGUUGAAACUGACGGUACUUUUUGCAUCACGGCCUAGCAAGAGAAUUCUUGAUAAGCAAGUAUCUCGAAGGCUAACGAGCUAUCUUUUUUUGACAUUUUAGGGUCUAGAUUUAUAGCUGUAAAUGUGGCAAAAUUUUAGCAAAAAUAAAAGAUAGUUACGAGAUGUUACUCGCGUUAGCGAUAGCUAGUUCUUCUGAAAAAACAUAUAAGUGUUGAGGCGAGAUUAAGAUAUUGGAAAAGUUAUUUAUAUUUCUUUACUCGCCCUCCAUAUCUUUAAGGAUAAGCUUAGAGAUAACUUGGAUAACACCUUAUGAAAGGGCAGUUUUUAAUGUAGGCCUGAAACCAGCCAGCAUACAUGAUUCUGUUAUAAGUCAAUUUUAACAGCCCAAAAGAUCUUUCUAUAUUUAUUUCUUCAGUAUAGAAGUAUGAGCCCUAAUUUUUUGGCUCUAAGCAUACGCUAGGAUGAGUAUUACAGUAUUUUUUUAGAGCGAAACAUAAAGUGACGCUCAUUCUAAGAUAUGAAAUUCAAUUGAAAAACAGAGGAAAGGAACUCGGCAAAUAAGUGCUUCGCCUGUUUAUCAAGAACAUGGCUCCUUGUUUUUUUUANAUAUAGAGUCGGUCCUGCCCAGUGAAAAGUUUUAACGGCCGCGGUACUCUGACCGUGCAAAGGUAGCAUAAUCACUUGCCUUAUAAUUGAAGGCUAGUAUGAAUGGUUUGACGAGAGCGCUGCUGUCUCUCUUCUGAUUUAUAAAAAUUAACUUUCAGGUGAAGAGGCCUGUCUAGAAUUGAAGGACGAGAAGACCCUGUCGAGCUUUAAGAAAACAAGGAAAAUCUUAUACUUAGUAAAUAUAAAGCCUUCUUUAUCUUUUGGUUGGGGCGACUAGGGAACAAUCAAAGCUUCCCUUACUUGUAAAACCUAUUUGUUAGGAUCCAGUAUUUUUCUACUGAUUAAAAGAAUUAGUUACCGCAGGGAUAACAGCAUAAUCCUUCUUGAGAGAUCUAAUCGAAAGAAGGGGUUGUGACCUCGAUGUUGGACUAGGAUAUCCUGAGGGUGCAGAAGCCUUCGAGGGUUGUCUG
rnacentral:rRNA from 1 species